ensembl:lncRNA
AUGGGGUUUCUAUGGGGCUCUAUGGGGCUCUAUGGGGUCUCUAUGGGUCCCUAUAGGUCUCUCUCUAUGGGUCACUAUGGGGUGACUAUGGAUCUCUAUGGGGUUUCUAUGGGUCCCUAUGGGUCGCUAUGGGUCUCUAUAGGUCUCUAUGGGUCUGUAUGGGGUCUCUAUGGGCCUCUAUGGAGUCUCUAUGGGUCUCCAUGGGUCUCUAUGGGGUUUCUUUGGGUCCCUAUGGAUCUCUAUGGGUCCCUAUGGGUUGCUAUGGGUCUCUAUGGGUCUCCCUGGGUCCCUAUGGAUUCCUAUGGGUCUCUAUGGAUCCCUAUGGGUUGCUAUGGGUCUCUAUGGGUCCCUAUGGGACACUUUGGGGUUGCUAUGGGUCCCUAUGGGUCUCUAUGGGGUGGCUAUGAGUCACUAUGGGUCUCCAUGGGUCUCUAUGUGUCGCUAUGGGUCUCUAUGGGUCCCUAUGGGUCUCCAUGGGUCCCUAUGGGGUUUCUAUGGGUCUCUAUGGCUAUGUUCUCACAUGUCUUUACAUAUCCCCACACGUUUCUCCGUCCCCAUGUGUCCUCACAUGUCCUCACAUGUCUUCACAUGUCCUCACAUGUCUUCACAUGUCAUCACAUGUCUUCACAUGUCCCCACGUGUCCCCGUAUGUUCUCACAUGUCCUCACUAUCCCCGCACACAUCCCUAUGUGUCCCCACGUGUCCCCACAUGUCCUCACAUGUCCUCACAUGUCCUCACAUGUCCCCAUGUGUCCCCACAUGUGCUCACAUGUCCUCAUAUGUCCUCAUAUCCCCCCAUGCGUCCCCACAUGUGCUCACAUGUCCCCACGUGUCUCCACGUGUCCCCACACGUCCCCACGUGUCCUCACAUGUCCUCACAUGUCCUCACAUGUCCCCACGUGUCCCCACGUGUCCUCACAUGUUCUCACACGACCCCACGUGUCUUCACAUGUCCCCACGUGUCUCCACGUGUUCCUAUGGUCGCCAUUUGUUCCCAUGUGUCCCCACACGUCCCCACAUGUCCUCACAUGUCCUCACAUGCCCCCACAUGUCCUCACAUGCCCCCACAUGUCCUCACAUGUCCCCACAUGUCCCCACAUGUUCUCACACGUCCCCACGUGUCCCCACGUGUCCUCACAUGUCCCCUCGUGUCUCCAUGUGUUCCUAUGGCCGCCAUUUGUUCCCAUGUGUCCCCACAUGUCCCCAUGUGUCCCCACGUGUCCUCACAUGUUCUCACAUGUCCCCAUCUGUCCCCGUAUGUUCUCACAUGUCCUCACUAUCCCCCCACAUCCCUAUGUGUCCCCACAUGUCCCGUGUCCUCACAUGUGCCCACAUCUCCCCACGUGUCCCUACGUGUCCUCACAUGUGCUCACAUGUCCCCACAUGUCCCCAUGUGUCCCCACGUGUCCUCACAUGUCCCCAUGUGUCUCCAUGUGUUCCUAUGGUCGCCAUUUGUUCCCAUGUGUCCCCACACGUCCCCACAUGUCCUCACAUGUCUUCACACGUCCCCACGUGUUCCCACGUGCCCCCACAUGUCCUCACAUGUCCCCACGUGUCCCCACAUGUCCUCACACGUCCCCACGUGUCCCCACGUGUCUCCAUGUGUUCCUAUGGUCGCCAUUUGUUCCCACAUGUCCCCACACGUCCUCACAUGUCCUCACAUGUGCCCACGAGUCCCCACGUGUCUCCAUGUGUUCCUAUGGUCGCCAUUUCUUCCCAUGUGUCCCCACACGUCCCCACAUGUCCUCACAUGUCCCCACACGUCCCACACGUGUCCCCACACGUCCCACACGUGUCCCACACGCCAUCUCUCACCCAUGAGUUCCUGGUAGCUGCUCAGGACGCUGUUCCUCCUCAUCUGCUCCGUGCUCAGCGUGCGCCACUGCAGCUUCAUGCGUUGGAAGGACGCCCUGCAACACGCGUGUGUCAUACGUGUGCGCGUCGUACGUCUGCCGUACCCACGUGCGCGCGCCACACGCGUGUCAUACGUGCCCGCGUGUGUUACACGUGUGCACGUCCCCACGUGUCAUACGCGUCUCUGUGC